rnacentral:rRNA from 1 species
UGAGUAACACGUGGGAACCUGCCUCUUUGUUCGGAAUAACUGCGGGAAACUGCAGCUAAUACCGGAUACGCCCUACGGGGGAAAGAUUUAUCGCAGAGAGAGGGGCCCGCGUCCGAUUAGGUAGUUGGUGGGGUAACGGCCUACCAAGCCGACGAUCGGUAGCUGGUCUGAGAGGAUGAUCAGCCACACUGGGACUGAGACACGGCCCAGACUCCUACGGGAGGCAGCAGUGGGGAAUAUUGGACAAUGGGCGCAAGCCUGAUCCAGCAAUGCCGCGUGAAUGAUGAAGGCCUUAGGGUUGUAAAGUUCUUUCGGCGGGGACGAUGAUGACGGUACCCGCAGAAGAAGCCCCGGCUAACUUCGUGCCAGCAGCCGCGGUAAUACGAAGGGGGCUAGCGUUGUUCGGAAUUACUGGGCGUAAAGGGCGCGUAGGCGGCCAUUCAAGUUAGGCGUGAAAGCCCUGGGCUCAACCUAGGAAUUGCGCUUGAUACUGUAUGGCUUGAGUUCGGGAGAGGUGAGUGGAAUUCCCAGUGUAGAGGUGAAAUUCGUAGAUAUUGGGAAGAACACCAGUGGCGAAGGCGGCUCACUGGACCGACACUGACGCUGAGGCGCGA